CGGAGGGCAGCGAGAUCGCGCAUCUCUGUUCUCCGCUCUUGAAGCGACUGCAGGGGAGCCAGAUGCCUGACUGUGAGCCGCUGCCUGUGGAUACCUAUCCCAAAUGCCAGAGCAGGCGAGAGCCACAGACACAUCUCACCAUCUGACAUGAUAGCAGAGAGAAUAGGGGCAGUGGACGGAGUACGAAUUAUUUUUUUUUAAUUGAUUUUCCUUUUACCUCAACCUCUACUUCAAAUGAAGAGCUUCAUUGGACUUGGAGUACCGGGCAUCAGUAGAAAGAAAAUCCGUUAUCCCACUCAGCCCCUGCUGCUGCGGUGCUGCUGCCUGUGAGCGAGCUCUCCUCUCAUUGCAUUGGAAUAUACAGCGUGCUCAUAUGCGCAAAACCAUGGAGAUUAUAUGACGUGGAUUUAUUUUUCGAACAAAACUGGACAUAUACAAAAGCGACGUUUACUCUUCUUUUCGUUUUUGAAUUGCCCUUUUCCGUUCUUUCGUUUGAUCUGUGGCUACUUUAUGAUCUCAUGUCCUUAGCGAUCCUUCCUUGUUUUCAUUUAUUUAUUUUUUUACACUUAUUAUUAUUUUCGGUCUGUUUCGGAGGCGCAGAAGUGGGAUGCCUCGCAGAGAACAUUUGUGGGGAGAAGAAUCCGCGCAGCAGCGAGGGUGAAUGAAUGAUAGUCUCCCUCUCCAUCUGAGACGUGCCAUGGAUGGUAAACUUAAUUUGUAUCCACGGAACCGAUCGGGGAAUAGCCGUCGCAUCAAAUAACUACUGCUGACAGCGAUCAGAGAACCUCACCAGGUCCAGUGUGUUGUCAAAGCUGCGGCAUAAAUGAAAGGAAGUGGACAGGUGGGAUUCCAGUCCAGAGGCAUGCAUGGUAGACGCACAGUGUGGCAGGACGAAUGUCAUAGGAUGAACACUGCUGGUGGGGUGUGUCUGUCUGUGCUGUCCUCCCUCCUGGCUGUGGCUGGGGCCCUGGCUGCCUUGUCUGCCCUCGCUCCAGCUUCUCUCUCUGCCCUGGCGGAGGCUGCCUAUGGGGCUGCCCACAGCGUCCCCAGCACCGGGGUAGAAGGGUCCCCCUCGCCCAUCUCCUCACCAUGCUCCAGCCUUGUAGCUGGGGUGCUCUAUGGCUCUUUCUCCCUAAGGGAGCUCUUUCCAUCCAGGGCACCGGGCUGUUCCUGGUCCCUAGAAAACCCUGAUCCCACCAAGUACUCCCUCUACCUCCGCUUCACCCGCCAGCCUAUCAUCUGCCGGACGCACUCCCCCAUGCUCCUCUCUCUUGACCACCACCUGGCCAAUCAAAGCUGUCCCCUUCACGUACAGACACCUGCUGCAAGGGAUCAGGAAGUCAUCGAUCUUUGUGGCAGCCAAUCCAACUCAGAGGGACCAUACUCCUUCCUACAGUUUGAUAAGAACUUUGUCCAGAUAUGUUUAACGAGACAUCCAGCAGAGGAUGAGCCUCAGGUAUCGAAGGAAUUGCUGGAGCUGAGACUGGUAGAGGUGUUACUCAUCAACAAUGAGAACUCCAGUCAGUUCACCUGCGGCGUGCUCUGCCGAUGGUUUGAGGAGUGUUUACGCACCGGUCACAAUGGAGACCAGGAGGUUUCUGAUGGAGAUGGUUGUGGGAUGACCCAGACAGGAUGUAUCUGUCCGAACCACAAUAUCAUGGCACCACCUAUUCCAUUGCUCCCGGAGACGCCCCACAGUUCCAGCAAUGGUUCUUUCAUUCCUGAUGACUGCUGUGUCACUGAGCUGCAUUCCAAUGAAGCAAUCGCCAUAGCACCCAGAGAUGUUCGACAAGACCAAUAUGAUGAUGACGAUCUGAAGGUGAAGACCCAGAGACCUCGAUCAGCUGACCAGCCAGGUGUGUUUCAGGCACAAACUGGUGACCCUGCGGCAGAGGAGUGGUCACAGUGGAGUGUGUGUUCUCUCACAUGUGGGCAAGGCUGGCAAGUGAGGACGCGAUCAUGUGUUUCCUCUCCCUAUGGGACGCUGUGCAGCGGAGCCCUGCGGGAAACUCGCAUGUGCAACAACACCGCUACCUGUCCGGGUGAACCGGGGAGCACAGGCUCAGUGCAUGGGCUGUGGGAGGAGUGGUCGCUAUGGAGUCUGUGCUCCGUGACCUGUGGGAGGGGCUCCAGGACGCGAACCAGGAAGUGUGUGAACGAAGGCAUGGCCGUGGCUUGUGGACAGCCCGAGGUUCAGACCAAACUCUGCAACAUAGCAGUGUGUCCUGUGGAGGGCCAGUGGUUGGAGUGGGGGCUGUGGUCGAGAUGCAGUGUGACUUGUAACGCAGGAACCCAGCAGAGGCAGCGACGCUGCAGUGCAUCGGUGCACGGCUGGGCUGAAUGUAAGGGCCCCCAUCAGGAGAGCAGAGAUUGCACCAAUCCUUCCUGCAGUGGUGGAGGUAACUGGGGCAGCUGGAACCACUGGAGUCUCUGCAGCAAGACAUGUGACUCCGGUUGGCAGCGUCGCUUCAGGAUGUGUGACGGCACCGGACAACAGGGCUACCCCUGCGAUGGCUCGGGAGAGGAGGUCCGGUCCUGUAAUGACAAGAAGUGCCCUGCUCCUCAUGAGAUAUGUAAAGAAGAUCACCUUCUCACUAUGUCAUGGAAGAGAGCCUCAGCUGGAGAAACUGUCUACAACAAGUGUCCAACUAACGCCACUGGAUCUGCUAGUCGUCGUUGCAUGCUGGACAAUAAUGGAGUUGCUUUCUGGGGUCCUCCGAGCUUCGCCAGAUGCGUCUCACUUGAAUAUAGAUAUUUACAUUUAACUUUACGAGAGCAUCUCGCGAAGGGUCAGAGGACCCUGGCUGGGGAGGGCAUGUCUCAGAUCGUAAGGACUCUCCUGGAGCUCUUGCAGAGGAGGAGCUACUACAGUGGUGACCUUCUCUUUUCCACGGAGAUCCUGCGAAAUGUGACGGACACCUUCAAAAGAGCAACCUACAUCCCAGCUACCGACGACGUGCAGAAAUUCUUCCAGGUACUCAGCCUCAUGUUGGACUUGGAAAAUCUAGAGAAAUGGGAGGACGCCCACCAGGUCGCUCCCGGUGCUGCUUUGAUAAUGAGGAUAGUGGAAGAUUUCAUUCACCUCAUUGGAGAAGCACAAAAGCCUUUCCAGAGUUUCCUGGUGGUUACCAACAACCUCAUGAUAACCGUCCAGCGAGAGCCGGUGUCAGCAGUUUCCAGCGAUAUCAACUUCCCCAUGAAGGGCCGGAGAGGGAUGAAGGACUGGGCCAGAACAGCAGAGGACAAGCUCUACAUCCCUAAAGAGGUCUUCACCAUCCCGAAUGAAGAGACGGAGACGGAGUCAGAGUCAGAGUCAGAGUCUACAAUGUACUAUGUAAUCGGAGCCAUCUUGUACAGGACGUUGGGUGUCAUCUUACCAGCACCAAACCCCCCUGCAGUGAUCAACUCCAAGAUCCUUACAGUGACAAUACGGCCAGAACCUGAACCCAGCAAGCCCAUGGUGGUGGUGGAGCUGUCACCACUUUUGAAUGGUACAUCAGAUCCACAGUGCGUUGUCUGGGACUAUGGCAACCCGGAAGCUGGCGCAGAAAACUGGGGCACAGAAGGCUGCCAAACGCUCGCGUCAACCACUGUCCACACCAAAUGCCUGUGCAGCAGGAUUUCCACCUACGCCGUGAUAGCGCAGCAAGCUAAAGACCCGGAAAUGGGUCCUACCAGCAUGCCCUCUGUGCCCCUCAUGGUGGGCUGCGGGGUUUCCUGCAGCGCUCUUCUCAUCCUGCUGCUAAUCUACGCUGCCUUCUGGAGGUACAUACGUUCGGAGAGAUCGAUCAUCUUGGUGAAUUUUUGCCUCUCCAUUUUGGCCUCCAACUUAUUGAUUUUGGUGGGACAAUCUCAAACGCUUAGCAAGGGUCUAUGUACUGUGACUGCCGCCUUCCUGCAUUUCUUCUUCUUGGCAUCCUUCUGCUGGGUGCUGACAGAGGCGUGGCAGUCCUAUCUGGCCGUCAUUGGCAAAAUGAGGUCACGACUCAUUCGCAAGCGUUUUCUGUGCCUCGGCUGGGGUCUUCCAGCUCUAGUCGUAGCAGUGUCGGUGGGUUUCACCAGAGCGAGAGGUUACGGCACAGCAAGCUAUUGCUGGUUGUCCUUGGAGGGCGGUCUGCUUUAUGCCUUCGUUGGGCCUGCUGCUGUCAUUGUAUUGGUCAAUAUGCUCAUUGGAAUUGUGGUGUUUAACAAGCUCAUGUCACGAGACGGCAUUUCAGACAAGUCUAAAAAGCAACGAGCGGGUGUCCCAGCGGAGGCGCGUAGCCGACUGCUCCUGAAAUGCUCCAAGUGUGGCGUGAUCUCGAGCACCGCUUUGUCCAGCUCGACUGCCAGCAGCGCCAUGGCGUCUCUGUGGAGCUCCUGCGUGGUUCUCCCCCUGUUAGCAUUAACCUGGAUGUCAGCAGUGCUGGCCAUAACCGACCGGCGCUCCACACUCUUCCAGGUGCUCUUUGCCGUCUUUGACUCUGUCCAAGGUUUUGUCAUCAUCACUGUCCACUGUGCUAUGCGCCGAGAGGUGCAGGAUGCGGUGCGCUGUAGGAUGGGGGGAUGUAAAGACGACAGCGAAAACUCGCCAGACUCCUGCAAGAAUGGACAGGUGCAGAUCAUGACGGAUUUUGAAAAGGAUGUGGAUUUGGCGUGUCAAACAGAGAGAGGACACCCAUUUAUAUUCAAAGAGGUGAACGCCUGUAACCCUGCCACCAUCACUGGGACCCUUUCCCGCAUCUCCCUGGAUGAUGAGGAUGAUCCCAAGCUGGCAGCCCAUCAGGAGGGGGGAGUUGGGCUCAACUUCAGCUCCCUCCCCGGGAACAUCCCCCCACCCAACCUCAUCGUACAGGUUCCAACUCUCGGCGGCCUCAAUGAGCUGAGCGAGACGCCCCUCAAGAAGGAGCUAAACGUAGAUCAGCAGAGACAACAGGGGCAGCAACGCAGUGGCGCUCCAAUCUACCUGUGCACCGAGAGUGGCCUGGGCUGGGCUCGACCACCCACUUCCUCCAACACCUCCCAGGACGGAAGUGCCGGAAGUGGGGGAAGCGGAGGGGGAGGAGGAAGUGGAGGAGGCGGGGAGGGAGACUACAUGGUCUUACCUCGUAGGACGGUCAGUCUCAAACCUCCAGCGCCCUCCUCUCAAGGAGGAGGCCUGGGACUGGGGUGCGAGGACAAGCCUCUCAACAUCGCAGUGGAGGAUCCUCCCUUCCCCCCGCCUCCCUCACCCUUGACCCUCCACCCAGCUGAAAGUGAGGCGUACCCGGCGGAUUUUGUGCCGUCGAGUGUGGGCGACAUGAACAUCGCCAUGAACCUCAACCGCUCCUAUGGGACGAUCAAAACCAUGCCCCACGGGCACGGCCACAUGAUGGCUCAAGGUGGUCUUGUACACUCCCACGGAGGACACAUGCACUCCCACGGGCAUUCGCUCCAGCUGAAGCAGGGCCAGAGGCCGUCGGUCAGACAGAUUCUAACAGGGGGAACCACAGUGGAGAGAACCAGGACCCUGCCACGCAACCUGGGCAGCACCAAUGCCAACAGCAGCCUCUCAGCAGGAUCCCUGGAGAGGAAAAGAGUACGGUACUCUGAGCUGGACUUUGAGAAAGUGAUGCACACUCGCAAAAGACAUUCUGAGCUGUACCAUGAGCUCAACCACUCGUCCAAGUUCCACACCAUAGACAGGUAUAGCAGGGACCCAGCCAUGUCCACAUUCAAGGUCCCCCCUCCCCCACCACCGAGGCACAACACCGAGCCAUCACUAGUGCGCAGAGCCUCCCUCGUUUACAAAGAAAGUCAAAGUAAGACCUACUAAACCCCGCAUAAACCGUGUGCCGUAGAGCCCCUUUAACUCACUCUAAGGCCGUUAGUUAAUGCGCUACAUGUCGCUGUAUGUGUCAUAGUUUGCCACUGUACAUACUGUAACUGUGUUUCUGAGCUGUAAAAAUGUACAUUUCACGCGUGAUUGAUUGUUCGCUAAACCUCUCAACCAAUCAGCCAAUAACCAAUCGAAGCUUAGCAACCAUAUGUAGGCAAGGCAGGCCUGUCAAGCUUUGGAUUUUUCUACAUGUUCAGUUGGUGAGCAAACUCAGCAUUUAAAGAGUUUGCAGGGUUUUGCAGGUUUUUUUUUUAAAGCUUUUAGGAAUGUAAGUAAUGGAUUAAAAAAUGUGUGUAUCCGCUCCAAGCUGCUAUCAUUAGCAUGUACGGCAAAUUAGCUUAACACAUAAAGUAAAUGAGCAUUACUUAAGGCCAAGGAGCACAUCCUUAGUUUGUGUCUUUACAAGUUACAUGGAAAAAAAGCCCCAUUCACUAUAGCACAUCCACUGUGUAGUGUUUUCCCACUGUGUGGAAGCUGAUCCUGAAAUAUCAGAGUUUAAGCUAGUUUUAUGUUCAGUACUGCUCCUUAUUAAAGCCAACAUUACCUGAGACAAGUUUGAAACCACAUCAGUAGGUCUUCAUCCUUUAAGCCUUUACUAUUGUGCCAUUAAAAAAAGAACAUGCUCUCAGUGCUAGAGGGUGAACGCCACACCUCGGGACAGGUUGGGAACGCCACUGCUGAUGCCCACAACAAACACAUCAAAUUUUCCAGUCAUUUAUGAAUGACUAGAUAUUGUUAAGGAAAAAGAAGCCAACCCUGUUUACGCUGUUAGAAGUUGUGGUGCUCAGCAGUCUUGUUUCAAGACUUCAGCAGCACUUUGUGGAGAAUUAAUGCGUUCAUUGGUUCUGGUUACACCCCACUCUGACAUUUACUACUGUCAUUUCCUGCAUCAAUCUAAGGCUGCACCUAAUGAUUAUUUACAUUGAUGAUUAAUCUGUCAAUUAUUUUGUCAAUGAAGGCGAAAUAAAUAGUAUAAUACUGUGUGAAAAUAAACUGUGAAACCAGGUAAAUCAGCCCCCUUUGUAAAAGGUUCGUGUGUGUAGUGCUAGAUAGAAAAAGCUUGACAGGCGCUACUUAACAGUGAUUAAGAUGUUAGGAGAUAAGCGAACAGUCAAUUAGAGGAAUGUACUUUAUACUUAUAGCAUUACCCGCUCAAGUAGCCUAUUUUAGACACUGGAAAGCCUUUUUCAAGGCGAUAAAUAUGUGUAGUUAGAGUCACACAGACAUUGUCAAACUAUGAGCUUACUCCAUGUAGCCUAACAUCCACGACCCAUCAGCGUUGUCUCCUAGUGAAGUGACUGUAUUUGAUGAGCCUAAAUAUUAGGUGGUCCCCUAGUGGUGUGGUAGUGCGGUGCAUCACAGCUUGUAUCCCCUGUGCGUCUGCAUUCCUCUUCCUCCAUCAACUCCUAUACAAAUUGAAAUACAUAAUCUGGAAUCACUAUAAUCAGAUAGAUUUGUAAGGUGGUCUGAUGACUGGCUUCGUCUUCAAUGAUGAAAGACGAAAAACAUAAACUCGUUUUUUUGUUGUUGCUGUGGUUUUGCUGUUUGGGGUUGUGUUUCCAUUCCUGUAGCGUCACUGUGUGUGGUGUGAUAAUCCAUGCAGUCCUCGUGCCCAUUUCAGUGCCUGGAUUAAACCUUAUGACCAAACAACACAACCACGCGAUAAAUCAGUUCAUAAAGACAAUGACCCAUCCAAAACGAUUCAUAAUCACCUCAUAAACCACGAUACUCUAUCCAUAAACUAGCUCAUUGGCACUCAAACGAGCCAAACAUGAUGCACUUUGUAUGUGUGCCAAUGAGACACUGUAAGAAAUAUCACAAAUACGUAUGCGGUCAGAAGAGACCUGAUCAAUUUUACUUCUCUGGAAAGGUAGGAUCUCUGUGUUGAGGAGAUGAGUGGAUAUCAGAAAAUGUCCCCUUCACACUUUUUGUUUUUUUCUUUCUUUUCAAGUGCAGUGGGCUUAAAGUGGUCUUGUGCAUUACAUGUGUCAUUACAGAUAGAAUCCACAACUUUCAAUCUCUUGAUUUCUGCUGUUCUUGUCUUUUCUUGCCUCUCCAUACCACCUACUCACACUUUUGUUAACUCCAUACUGCCCAGCAACUGGUAAUCCCUUAUAUCACACUGAUAGCUGGAAGCUGUUAGUGAUGACUAAAGUGUUACUCUUUAUAGAUGGAAAUGAGGGCGAAAGACAUGACCAGAAAAGAGGGGGAGGUAGACACCAUAUUACAGGACUCCGCAUUAACCUCCAUGUUCAAAAUCACCUUGUCUGUCUUUUCUAUUCGGCUGCUGAGGCUAGCCGAGCUAUUCCUGUUGUCUGAAAAUAAAUUCUGUUUUUUUUUUUUAAAACAUGCAUGACCUUUAUAAUCGACCCUGUAAAAUGGCUUUCUGAUAAACCAUCGCUUCUUCUCCCAGUAAGAAUAUAUAUAACAAUAAUAUAAUACAAGUGUAUGUGUAUAAAACUAUACACAUAUAUACACUUUUAUUCUUCUCUGUUGAAGUGGAUAGAAAGUGGGCUUCACAUUACGUGCUAAUGAUAAAAAGAAAUCCAAAUCCGACUCUCUUUUAAGUGCAGUGGAUGCUCAGGCAGGGGCAAUGUGGCUUGCGGGGGGAUAGAGUCCAUUCUCAUUGUGUCUCUCAUAAUGGAGACAGGAGACAAAUGGAGUCAGUGGGGUUUACUGAGAGAUAAAGUGUUUACUGUGUUUAUGUAACACACUAUGUAUUAGUAAUACUUUGUUGCGCUAAUGUUUAGAUUCAAAACAGCUUCUUGGCCUCCGUCACUGUGGAGUUAGCCUGUAGUUUUCCAUCCUCUCCGCAGGGUUCAGGAGGUCAUAAGACAAAUUUGCAUGUGGUGCCCAGUGAUGCAGUGUUGUUCCUCACUGUGUGUUAGAUGGACGGUGUGAGUUUGUGUGUGUGUGUGUGUGAGAGAGAGAGAGAGAGAGCGAGAGACAGAGAGGGAGUUUGCACUGCGUAAUAGCCAGGCUGAUGCAUUUUUUAGCUAUCAAAUGGGAUAUAUUUCCAUCCCGUCGUCUGCUGUGUUCUUGAUUAAAUGAAGCGUGCUUUGGCUUCCCUCUCCAGAUAGACAGCGAGGAGUUGUGCGGAACGCAGUGGGAUGGAGAAAAAGACAAAGAAAACAAGUGCUCUACUUUGUUGUGAUUUCACUCAUGCUAGAUCAGAGCGGGGACAGUGAGCAAAUUUUUGAUUGUGAAAUAUUCAUUUGUGCUUGAGGCGUGUGUUUGAAUUCCGUGAUGAAAUCCACGUCUAUUAGGCUACAUAUGGAAGUAUAUUCUUGGAUUGGUCUAAGAGGGUUUCUCCAUUAGCCCGCAUCAUAAAAGAGAGGUGAGACCUGAGGUUAGUGGCACUAAAUUCUUGACAUUAGUGGCUGGUAUUGAUAUUCCAGCAUGUAUUUAGUCCACUAAAGGGAAUUGUAAGGUAAUGCUUUGGGGAUGUGUCUUGUAAAAUGAAGAUGUAUAAUUUUAAAUGACAAAGGCUCCAUUUUUGUUGAUUCAAUGAGGGCAAUUUGCGUGCAUUUGCAAACCCUGUAGGUCUUGAUAGUUAAUUUACUGGCAUUGAGCUAAUUUCAAUUUCACAUCCCAGCAAUAAAGCAAGUCCUCCCCUCUUCCUCCACUUCAUAUCUCAUUCUCCCCUCUAUUUAUCCUCACGGCUUGACAUUUUCUCUAUUGCUGUCUCCCUCGUUUUCCCAUUUCCCCCUCUAAACUCAGCCCUCGGUGGCACGUUUGAGGCAUUAAUUGAAUAAUUAAUUCCUCUCAUUAGUUUGUUUUUAAUUAUUUCCUUGCCCCCUUCUCCUUGCCGAGUAUAAACUCAUCAACUAUUUUCAUCCUUCCACACAAAUUGCCCAUGAAAACUGAGGGCUGGCAGAGUGUAGCUACGGCACACUGGCUCUAUCAGUGGCCCCUAAUGAGGGGACGGUUAGCCCAGGCGGAACAAGCCUAACACUGGCUUUGUGCACCAAGAGGCACAAUACUGAUUUAGCUCAUUUAGUGCCCUUGGGCCAAUUAAAGGGAGGUGAAAAUGGCCAAUUGCUAGCUGGAACUGUUUUCACUAUAGGAGCACUGGCCUCGCACAGGCCGGGAUAGCAGCAAACCAAGCCUGUGUGUCUGAUUGCUCGUUUGUUUGCAAUGUGUUGCACUAAUGGAAUUUAUUUGCCCUACAUUCUCCAGAUUUGGCUCCUUUGAAGGGCCUUAUUAUUUGUGACACAGAUUCCUUCCAAGAUUACAGAUAAAUGGUCCUAAAGACCACUCUGCCCAUUUAGUCUAUUUUGUGCCCCCCUAAUGAAUUAUGCUGGGGCUAUAUGCAUCAUUAUUUUGGCAAUAUGAUAAAAUAAACACACAAAAAACCUUGAAAUAGUCCAGUUCUUGUUCAAGGACCCAAAGCCCACAGUCAACAAGCCACAGUCAUGUUCUGGUAUCCACUCUGUCUACCCGUGCGUUGUUUGAUGUUGCUUUCAUUUUCUUCGUGUAUAAAUGUGAUUUUAAGUUUGUUUCAUGUGAGCCUCCCACUCAGUGUAUGUUUUUUCUUUGCCUUACUGCCACAUUUUUUAUUGAUUUAUGUUUUUGUUUUUGUUUCCUGUUUUAUGUCCUUUGUUGGCUGACUGGGCCUUGUGUUGCAUGCUUGUUGUCAUGUCCCAGUUUGAAUGUAGCCCGACAGUCAGCAGAGCCAUGGGCAUCCAAGUCAACAAAGAGGGAAAAGCGAUGGAGCAUUUCGUCUGCCGGAGGUGAAAAGAACUC